CAUUUUGAAUAUUUGCAAUCAGCAAAGGUCUGGGACGUCUUAGUCACGGCAAGAAGCGCAGAUGGGAAAGUAUACAAAAUAAUACAUAAAUAGAGCAAACAAAUGUGAAAUUCGUCGAGAUCUAAAGCGAAAUGAUAACCAGAAGUAUGAUAGCUCUUUGCUGAUGCUUUUGAAGUAAAUGAUGAGCACAAGCACACAGAUGUUGAUAUUGAGCACUUUUGGAGAAAGGGAAUUCCAGGAAAUGGACUGAUCUUGUGGAAGAGCUUCAUUCUCUUUGUGAAAAUAACAGAUCUUCCAUAUUCACACCUUGAAUCAAUGCGAAUGAGUUAAUAAAGGCACACCAUACUUCAAUUGCUUGGAAUCUCCAUGCAGGCUUGAUAAAUUUCGUCAGUGUGGUAGGAAUUGGCCAGUCUGUGUUGAUUGUGAUUGGAAAUUUCACAAAGAAAAGUCAUUCCAUGAUAGACAUGGUUGGAUGGGUAAUCAUUUCAAUCAUCACAUUCACAUUUGAUAAAACUAGCCAAAUAACUGAAGUUGAUUGCUAUGUUUCUUUGCAUCCUGUCCAAAAGUUUUGUCAUGGCUGCUCUAGAAAAUCAACCUUUCACUCUGUGCCCAGUAAGGAUAUGCUGACUAUUUGUACAACACGAGAAUGCCGACGCUUGCGAAUAUUCUUGGUAUUGGCUAGUGGACAGCAAAUUCAAGUCUUUAAAUAUGUUAUUUUUACAAGAUUUACUUUUGCUGCUGAACAAGAUGCAAAAAAGAAAGGCAGGAUGUUCCGAGUCCAUUUUUGUUAGAUUCAUAGAAGACAUCAGUGUAUCUAAAGGAAGGGUACGUAUAUAAAUAUUUUGUGUGUAAGCCACAUUAGUAAGUGUAAAUUCUCAUCAUUUUACAUAGUUUGUUUUUUUUUGUGUGUAAAGCAAUUACCAUUGUCACUAGUGUUAUGAAAAAACCUCUUCACGUACUUAGCCGAAGAAGAGUAAUUGUACGUUUUGACCUCCUCAGUAUUCGAUACCUCUUUGUUGGCAUCAAAUGUAAACAUUCCGUCUGUUGAGACUGAAGACUUUCUUUCUGCCCGUAAGAGGGUCAACUCACUUACUGCCAAGCUUUGUCGUGAUAUACGUAACUGUCGAUGUACUGCUUGAUAUAGAGUACAAAAGUCAUUUUUGGAAAGUGCCUUAUAGUGUGUUAAGAAUGAACUUGAAAUGUUGUCUUUUGUCACAGUACAAAGGAAAGCAAGCAUUGUAAAAUUGGGAAGUAUGUUGUUACACUUACGUAUAUUAGCUACUACAUAAGACGAGCACACUUGUUACAUACGUAGCAAGAAUCCAUACUGAAGUCAUUACAAAUCUAAGGCAAAAAUACAUUAUUUCUUAUUUAGUAUACGUUCUUAAAAGCAUGAACUAAGAUAAGUCAGAAGAUGUUACUUAAACGUAACGUUAUAUAAAAUAUUAUAUAGAAAAUUAUUUUGGACUGAAAUGUAAAAUUGUCGACAAGUUCGAACAUAU